UGGGGAAUAUUGCACAAUGGGCGCAAGCCUGAUGCAGCCAUGCCGCGUGUAUGAAGAAGGCCUUCGGGUUGUAAAGUACUUUCAGCGGGGAGGAAGGGAGUAAAGUUAAUACCUUUGCUCAUUGACGAUACCCGCAGAAGAAGCACCGGCUAACUCCGUGCCAGCAGCCGCGGUCAUACGGAGGGUGCAAGAGUUAAUCGGAAUUACUGGGCGUAAAGCGCACGCAGGCGGUUUGUUAAGUCAGAUGUGAAAUCCCCGGGCUCAACCUGGGAACUGCAUCUGAUACUGGCAAGCUUGAGUCUCGUAGAGGGGGGUAGAAUUCCAGGUGUAGCGGUGAAAUGCGUAGAGAUCUGGAGGAAUACCGGUGGCGAAGGCGGCCCCCUGGACGAAGACUGACGCUCAGGUGCGAAAGCGUGGGGAGCAAACA
rnacentral:rRNA from 1 species